rnacentral:lncRNA from 1 species
UGUUGCGGUGUCUUGCGAACUGUAUAGUGCCGCUGAAUACCAUGCUCCUCACAAAAUCUCAGAAACUGUGAAUCUGUAUACUCUGUACCGUUAUCUGUCCUCAGAUACUUAAUUUUUCUGCCAAUCUGGUUCUCUUCUUCUGCUUUCCAUAAUUUGAACUUGGCAAAGGUUUCAGGCUUGUGCUUCAUGAAAUAUACCCAAACUUUUCUGAGAAGUCAUCAAUGAAAGUAAUAAAAUACUGAAAUCCACCUUUGGACAACUCCCUCACUGGUCCCCAAAUAUCUGAGUGCACGUAAUCAAGAAUGCCCUCUGUCUUUUGCUUUUCCAUCUUGAAGUGUACUCUAGACUGUUUUUCAAGUGCACAGAACUUGCAGAAAUUCAGCUUGCAUGAUUUUACCCCCUUCAACAAAUUCCUCUUGUGAAGCUCAACCAUGCCACGUUCUCCUAUAUGCCCCAGUCGCAUAUGUCAUAGAAGAGUGUCAUCUGACUCAGAUUUUGCUGUAGCAACUCCACCUACAACUGUAUCCCCGAGUAGUUUGUAGAUAUUCCCUACCAAUUUCUGACCCUUCAUCACAAUCAUAGCCCCUUUCUUUACUGUUAGAGCCCCACACUCUGACUUAUAAGAGUAACCAUUUGUGUCUAAAGUGCCUAAAGAAAUUAGAUUCUUUUUCAACUCAGGUACAUGCCUAACAUUUUCCAAGGUCCUUAUCACACCAUCGAACAUUUUAAAUUUUAUGGAUCCCAUUCCAAUGACCUUACAUGAUGCAUCAUUACCCAUCAGAACAGAUCCAAAAUUACCAGAAUGAUAUGAAUGAAACCAAUCCCAUUGAGGACAUAUGUGAUAUGAACAUGCUGAAUCAAGUACCCAACAGUCAUUUAAUUUUACAAAAUUACCUGCAGAGACUGAUAACAUGUCUCCAUCUCCAGAAUCCGAGUCUCCUUUUGCAACACUAGCUGAGUUUGAGGACCCAUCACCUUUCCUUUCAUCACUCUGCUUCUUAUUUGGACAAUUUCUCUUAAAGUGGUCCAUCUGAUUGCAUUUGUAGCACUUCACGUUUUUAUUAUUUUGAUUUCUAGAUUUUGAUUUUGUGUUCCCUCUAAAAGAAACACCUCUGUCCUUCCUUCUCCCACGAUCCUGGUAGCCCUUUAUGAUUAACCCUUCACCCUGUGAAGUUUCAUCAGUACGCAGUUUCCGCUGGUUGUAGGCUAACAGGGCUGAUGUGACUUUUUCCAAUUCGAGAGUCUCUUUACCCCACGUCAACGUGGUCACCAAAUGGUCAUACGAAGGAGGAAGUGAGCACAACAAAAUCAUUGCCUUGUCUUCAUCAUCAAACUUGAUUUCAAGUCGCAAUAGAUCGCUGAUGAUUUGAUUGAACACAUUGGUGUGUUGAAUCAGAUCCGUACCCUCCAACAUCUUCAGCCCGUACAGUCGCUGCUUUAGAUGCAGCUUGUUUGUGAGAGAUUUCGACAUAUAAAUACUCUCCAAUUUCUCCCAAACCUCCGCCGGAGACUCAACAUCCAUGACGUGAUACAUGAUUUCUUCCGCCAAGCAAAGCCGAAUUGUACCAACUGCUCGCGCCUCGAGCUCUUCCCAAUCGGCAUCUGACGUACCCUUUGGUUUCUUCCUAGAUAGUGCCUUCAUCAUCCCUUGCUGCGCCAACAAAUCCUUCACCCUUCGCUGCCAUAAUACGAAGUUCCCAGAUCCGUCAAACUUCAUCACAUCAAAUUUUGCAAUCGAAGAACUCGCCAUCUGAACCUAACUCUGAUACCAGUUGUUGGAUUUUAUGCGCAAUAUUAAAGAGAUGAAAACGAUAAUCAACACAAGAAUUUUACGUGGUUCGACAGUGUGCCUACGUCCACGAGAGCGAAGCAGAUAUUUCUUUAUUCAAAUGUGAAAAAUAGGGUUACAACAUAUUAUUUAUACUAACCCUAAUCUGGGCUCAUAUAAAACUUUAAGGCCCGUACAGAAAAUACUCCUGUACCGUACCGCGCCCCACGUUGCCCUCGCACCCCCAACCCAUUCAACGUCCCUAACAACCAGACAGUGAAUUAAACCCGCGCAAAGUCGAUGUCGUCGCUCUGCUUCGUUCCGUUUGAUGCCCUCCGCUCCGCGCCGGCAUCGGCCCAUUUGAUCCAGGGCCUGUGUUCCACUCUAUAUGGGCCACAUGCACAACACAUAUUACACAAGAUGAACAUGAGCAGUGUUCGUUCAACUUCGACAAGAAGUAUCUGUCAGUUACCUUAUUGUCAUGCCAUGAACUUGGGGAUGUGCCACAACAGCUCAACUUUUUGAUACAGAAGAAAGUUGGAAGGAUGUGGCAGAUCUAUAAAUCGGAAACAACUUCUCCCUUUCAUCAUUAUUAUUAUUAUUUUGUUUCCUCCUUUUUUUCCUGGCCUUCUUUAUGACAAGAAAUAACAAGACUAGUAGCUAGUCAUAUACGAUGGUUAUUGAGAGGGAUGUCCCAUCUAUACCUCUACAUAUUAAAAGGUUUAUAAUGAAAAAGAUAUUGUUCGUUUUAUCUUAAGCUUUAUAGUUGUUGGCAGGUCUUCAUUCAAUCAGAUGUCCUUGAAGUGGCAAUUGACAUGAGGAACUAUUUUGAUGCUAAGUUAGAUAAACUUGUACAUGUUAACAGUAUUUACACUAAUAUGCUUUGUGACACUGAGGGAUGGUUGUUGAAUAAUCCAUUGGGAAUAAGGACGGAGCGUGAGAUCCAUGCUGAAUUUGAAGGUGCUAGAAUUUACAGAAGAAUGUACCAAAAGCAGAGGUGCAUUUUUGCUUCUUUUUCUUUUUUUCCUCCCAUCAGUAUUGUACUUGUCUUAUGAUCAUGUCUUUGUGUAUCUGCAGUUGAUUAUGCUCCUCGUGUUGUUCCAUGAAGCACAGGACUUCUUAGUUGAUUAGUCUACUUGCAGAAUUGCUCUGCCAGCUACCAUGGGCCAGUGAUCUUUGUAGCAUUCUUGGUUUACAAGGCCUGGUUCUUGCUUGAAUGGCACAAGAAGUUGCUUUUUGAGGAAAUGACUAAGAAACAUUCUUGGUGCAAUCUUUUAUCAUUAGUCAUAACCUCCUUUCCUUAGGGCCCAUCAUCCUCGACUAGCAAUGAUUGUACUCAAUACGCCAUUGAAAGACAUUUAUGUUCGCGUUGUAAAGAGAGAGUCAUGGUGGACCGACAGUUCCUUUUGACAAAUGAGCUAUCCUGUUGAAACCUUCUACUUGGACCGAGUAUUGUAUAUUUGCACCAAAAUCAUUUGAUUGUUUCUUUAGCUGAUGCUGCCUUUGCACUUGUUUCUCCAUAUGCCCUUAUCAAUCGACAAUGUUCUUUUAGCAGCUAAUGCAAUUUCCUGGCAUAUUAAGUCGUUUAUAUCAAAUUCAC